rnacentral:lncRNA from 1 species
CUUUAACCAAUGGAGUGUCAGCUCAGCUGAGAAUAUAAAGGAUCUGCUCUUUCAUGUACGUGUUUGUUUCCUGCAAGCUGGAAAACCAUAAACAACUUGAGAGGCUUACAGUAUCAAAUUGGCAGUAUUUACAAAACUGAAGAGAUUCUAUAUAAUACAAGGAACUAUGCUAUCAUUUGUUGUGUGCUGCAUCCUCCCUAUUCCUCACUUCUGUCACAUUUGGCCUAAGCAGCUUCUGGCUCACCUGAAGAAACUGAAGACAGAGAAGAAAUGGAAUGAAUAUUGGAAUAUGAGGAGAACUGAUGGGAAAUUAACUGAGCCUGAGAAAUGCUCCAAAUUAGGAAGUAGCAAGAGAAGCAUCAGGGACCAUAGCAGAGCAUAGUUCAACUGGAAACUUUCGGAGUUUUAAGAGAAAAUGAUCAUUCUGAACAUCCUAGGUAGGAAGUGUAUAAAGCUAGGAUACUUUCCAAGUCACUGUUAAAUAAAAUAAGAUAGAAACCAUAUUUGGCUGAGUGC